rnacentral:rRNA from 1 species
GAUGAACGCUAGCUACAGGCUUAACACAUGCAAGUCGAGGGGAAACGACAUCGAAAGCUUGCUUUUGAUGGGCGUCGACCGGCGCACGGGUGAGUAACGCGUAUCCAACCUGCCCAUCACUUGGGGAUAACCUUGCGAAAGUAAGACUAAUACCCAAUGAUAUCUCUAGAAGACAUCUGAAAGAGAUUAAAGAUUUAUCGGUGAUGGAUGGGGAUGCGUCUGAUUAGCUUGUUGGCGGGGUAACGGCCCACCAAGGCAACGAUCAGUAGGGGUUCUGAGCGGAAGGUCCCCCACAUUGGAACUGAGACACGGUCCAAACUCCUACGGGAGGCAGCAGUGAGGAAUAUUGGUCAAUGGGCGAGAGCCUGAACCAGCCAAGUAGCGUGCAGGAAGACGGCCCUAUGGGUUGUAAACUGCUUUUAUAAGGGAAUAAAGUGAGAGUCGUGACUCUUUUUGUAUGUACCUUAUGAAUAAGGACCGGCUAAUCCCGUG